UCCGACGGUGAGGGGCGAAGGCUGGGGGCGCAAACCGGAUUAGAUACCCGGGUAGUCCCAGCAGUAAACGAUGCCAGCUAUGUGUNGCUGGAACCAUGGGUUCCAGCAGUGCCGAAGGGAAGCCGUGAAAGCUGGCCACCUGGGAAGUACGGGUCGCAAAGCUGAAACUUAAAGGAAUUGGCGGGGGAGUACCACAACCGGUGGAGCCUGCGGUUUAAUUGGAUACAACGCCGGGAAUCUUACCGGAGGAGACAGCAGUAUGAAGGCCAGGCUAAAGACCUUGCCAGAUCAGCUGAGAGGAGGUGCAUGGCCGUUGCCAGUUCGUACCGUGAGGCAUCCUGUUUAGUCAGGCAACGAUCGAGACCCGCAGUCUUAUUUGCCAGCAUGCCCUUUGGGGUGUAUGGGUACAAUAAGACGACCGCCAGCGCUAAGCUGGAGGAAGGAGCGGGCUACGGUAGGUCAGCAUGCCCCGAAUCCUCCGGGAUACACGCGGGCUACAAUGGUCAGGACAAAAGGUACCGACCUCGAAAGAGUGAGGUAAUCCACAAACCUGAUCUCAGUCCGGAUCGAAGGCUGCAACUCGCCUUCGUGAAGAUGGAAUCGGUAGUAAUCGU
rnacentral:rRNA from 1 species